ACGAUCAGUCGUUUCACCAGAUGUGAGAGAAAAAAUAUCCCACUUUUCUCCCAAAAUUUGACCCUGACCGCUCUGCUACUAAAUACUACUAGAUCUAGUGUGUGUUUUUUAUGUCUGGAGAAAGUGAGAGAAAACAAUGGUGAAGCGGAGGCAGGCGCAUUUGAGCAAGGAUUCAAAGGUGGAAGUUUGUAGCAACGAAGAGGGUUACAGAGGUCCCAUGGUUGUCAGCCAUAAUCCUUGACCCCGAACCAUCAGAUCCGGCCACAAACAACAAAAGGAACAACCUUGGCAACUCAAGCAAGGCUCUGGCGCAGUACAAUAAUCUGGUCUAUGACGAUGACCCAAACAAGCCACUCACUGAGCUCGUUGACGUGUGCUCCAUCCGGCCAGCGCCUCCUCCUGACAAUCCUGACCAGCCCUUCGAGCCAGCCGACGUCGUAGACGCCUCUUACCUUGAUACUUGGUGGGUGGGGGUUGUGAUGAAGUUUGAGGACGACAAGUACACGAGGAUGGCGGAGGCAAUUUCCAGCCCUAAUCAUGAUGCAACAAUUUUACAUCUUUCCAAGAACUUAAGAUGGGUUCAUCCAGAACACUCCUUAUCUUUUGCACAAUCAUUUUCAAGGAGAACGCCAGUUAAAACAUCAAACAAAGAAGCCCCAGUUAGAGAUGGUGCGGUAAGUGAACUCUUGAAAAAAAUGUUGUUGGUAUAUAUAUUCUCCUAUUGCUGAGUGUUCCUUUGGGGUAAACAAAAUCAUGACUCAAUUCUUCCCUCUACAACUAAGUUUACGAAACUCUGGACUAUUACCUGCCUUUCUUAGAGUAUUGCUACCUACUGAAACUGAGGAGGAUUGCAAGGCUUUACCCUUACCAAGUCUAAUUCGAAUUCGAAUUCUUUCCAACCCAAUGUGGAUACGUCCAGCUGAACAAUGUUACGAGGCUCAUUGUUGUUAGAGUCGUCGGAUAUGUCUUCAAAACUGUAAUACCUGACCAGGAACUCACUUUAAGGAUAAUGUAGCCUGAUCAUUCCUUUAAUCGUCUCCUCCAAACUAGGAAUGCCAUUGUGGCCAGAAACUCGCACAUGCCCAAGCAAGUGGUCUAUCCCUCCAUCAAAAUCAUCUACCUUAUACAGCUGGAUCCUAUAAUCAUCUAUCUCUAGAAGCACAUCGAAGGCGAAAAUAUAGCGUACAUGCUGCAAAAAGAUAUCAAAAAACAUCUCAUUCAUUUAGAGUAAAAUCCAUUCAUCACCAUCUACAGCAACGUAAUCGAAAGUAAAUUUUUUGAUCAGUGGGGUAUUGUAAGU